GGUUCAGGAAGCUGUUGUUUUUACAAUUGAGAUGCUCCUCGUCUCCUUUCUCCUCCUGCACACAUGGAGGCUUCCUGAUUGUUUUCACCUGUCAUCACACCUGUCUCCUAUGCUCAUCAGUGUCAGCCCCGCCCCUGAUUGGUCCCACCUGUGUCUUGUUACCAUGUGCUUAAAUUCCCCUGUCUCCCAGUGUUCCUUGUCAGUUCGUCUGGUCUUUUGCCAUGAUCAGGUCGGGUUAUGUUGUGCUCUUGAAAAGUUUUUGAUCCCUCACUACGUGAGCGCUUUCAUUUUGUUCACUGCAGAACCGAAAAAUAAAGUACUUACAAAUACUUUA